AUUGAACGCUGGCGGCAUGCCUUACACAUGCAAGUCGAACGGCAGCGGGGGAGAAGCUUGCUGGGAGAGAAAGUGGCGCACGGGUGCGUAACGCGUAUGCAACCUACCUUUAUCAGGGGGAUAGCCCGGAGAAAUCCGGAUUAAUACCGCAUAAAAUCACAGAACGGCAUUGUUCAAUGAUCAAACAUUUAUGGGAUAAAGAUGGGCAUGCGUGUCAUUAGCUAGUUGGCGGGGUAACGGCCCACCAAGGCAACGAUGACUAGGGGAUCUGGGAGGAUGGCCCGCCACACAGGGACUGAGACACGGACCAGACUCCUACGGGAGGCAGCAGUAAGGAAUAUUGGUCAAUGGAGGCAACUCUGAACCAGCCAUGCCGCGUGCAGGAAGACUGCCCUAUGGGUUGUAAACUGCUUUUAUCCGGGAAUAAACCUCCGAUCGUGAUCGGAGCUGAAUGUACCGGAAGAAUAAGGAUCGGCUAACUCCGUGCCAGCCGCCGCGGUAA
rnacentral:rRNA from 1 species